GACGAACGCUGGCGGCGUGCUUAACACAUGCAAGUCGAACGGAAAGGCCCUGCUUUUGUGGGGUGCUCGAGUGGCGAACGGGUGAGUAACACGUGAGUAACCUGCCCUUGACUUUGGGAUAACUUCAGGAAACUGGGGCUAAUACCGGAUAGGAGCUCCUGCUGCAUGGUGGGGGUUGGAAAGUUUCGGCGGUUGGGGAUGGACUCGCGGCUUAUCAGCUUGUUGGUGGGGUAGUGGCUUACCAAGGCUUUGACGGGUAGCCGGCCUGAGAGGGUGACCGGCCACAUUGGGACUGAGAUACGGCCCAAACUCCUACGGGAGGCAGCAGUGGGGAAUAUUGCACAAUGGGCGGAAGCCUGAUGCAGCAACGCCGCUGGCGGGAUGACGGCCUUCGGGUUGUAAACCGCUUUCGCCUGUGACGAAGCGUGAGUGACGGUAAUGGGUAAAGAAGCAACGGCUAACUACGUG
rnacentral:rRNA from 1 species